AUUCCGCUGAAUUUAAGCAUAUAAGUAAGUGGUGGAAAUUAAACCAAAUGGGAUAUCUUUAGUAAUUGCGAAUGAACAAGGAUAUGCUUAGCUUGACAAAUGGAGCUAUUGGCUUUGAAUUGUAUUGUGGAAAUGUAUUACCAACAGAGGUGCAGGUGCCAGCCUAUUGAAAUAAAGCGUCAAUGAGGGUGAGAAUCCUGUUUGUCAUGUGCAGCCCUUUGUGCACGGUGUAUAUUUGCUGAGUCACACUCCUUGGCAUUGGAAUGCAAAGUGGGUGGUAAGUUUCAUGUAAAGGUAAACAUGCAAUUGAGACUGAUAGCACACAAGUACCAUGAGGGAAAUAUGAAAAGGACUUUGAAAAGAGAAUUAAAUGAGUUUGUAUUUGCUGAACACAAAGUAAACAGACUUGAUUUGCUUGGUGGGAGUGUUGCACUUGCUUGACAAGAGCUUUGGGCUGUGGGUGUAAUGAUUCUUUCUAUGCAUGCCAGUUUCUAUUUGUACAUCUGAUUACCUUUGCACAUGAAUGAUAAGUCUCCUGUGGGGGGUGGAUUGCAUGUGCAUGUAAUGAUUUGUGUUUUGAUAAAUGUGUCUGGUGUAUGUGUGUGUGUUCCUGUGCUUGGGGAUGCUUCCUUCCUUGGACUUACAAGCCCUGACACACACAUGCUGGCAAAAUGCUUCUGCUUGACCCGUCUUGAAAAU
rnacentral:rRNA from 1 species